GAUGAACGCUAGCGGGAGGCUUAACACAUGCAAGUCGAGGGGCAGCAUAGAGUAGCAAUACUUUGAUGGCGACCGGCGCACGGGUGAGUAACGCGUAUGUAACCUACCCUGUACAGGGGGAUAGCCCGGAGAAAUUCGGAUUAAUACCCCAUAAUGAUAUUUUAAGGCAUCUUAGAAUAUUUAAAGCUUCGGCGGUACGGGAUGGGCAUGCGUGACAUUAGCUAGUUGGUAAGGUAACGGCUUACCAAGGCUACGAUGUCUAGGGGUCCUGAGAGGGUGAUCCCCCACACUGGUACUGAGACACGGACCAGACUCCUACGGGUGGCUG
rnacentral:rRNA from 1 species